rfam:Aedes aegypti strain Liverpool supercont1.1229 genomic scaffold, whole genome shotgun sequence.
CUCGGUAGCUUAGUUUGUAAAGCACUCAUCUAGCAUACAAGAGUCGUGGGUUUGAAUCCAACCCGAG